rnacentral:pre_miRNA from 14 species
CAUGGGUGCGUGCGUGUGUGUGUGUGUGUGUGUGUGUGUGUAGGGGGCCAGGAUGAGCCUCACAUUGAUCCUGCCCAGCACUGA